GAGGUUUCACUCAUACUUUUAGAGUUUACUUCCUCCUACCUGCUUAACCUCUGGGUGAACUGAUUAAAAUAAAGGGGCGACCAGAUGAGAGGGAUUGAAAUGGGCAGUGUGCAUGUCACUGCGCAACCCAUGGGCUGGAAAUCAAGUCUCUGCCUGCCCACAUCCCUUGAGCUGCCUUUCUAUGGUGAACACUGUGUUUUGUGCUUGCAUGCUCGUAGUCCCUGUAAGCCUCUGCAGUAGCCCCCAUUCUAGAAGGCUGAAAGAGCACCUGCAACCCUGUUUCCAGCCCUGGUCCAGGGUUUCCUUAAAGGUCUAACAAUUCCAGAAAGUGUGGAAAAUCCAGCAGGGGUAUAUCCUUUUAGAGAUGUUUAAAUAUAGGCUUUGCUGGGUAGUGAAGGGCCAAGAGUCAGUCAAAGGAUGGUCUCUCUGACCCUGGACUGUAACCCCCUUUCCCAGCAAUUCGUGGAUGAACACAGCAUGUUCUUGCUGGGGUAGAUCACUUAUGUGAUUCUUCUCAAGUGGUACCAUGACAUGUCGUUUUUGGCUGUAACCCCUCAAAUAUUUUUAUAUGAAAAAAAGAUGGAGUUUUUCUUUUCACUCCUUGGUCUCGUGGGGAUUUCCUCGUUCUCUGCUGCAGCCCGUUGGCUGGGGUUUUCAGAAGCUGAUUUUGCAAACGCUUUUUGAGCCGUUGGGUGGUGCUGAUGCGGGGUGAGUUCUAUCAGCGCUGGGGGAAGGUGAGCCCUGCCCCAGUUCUGCGAGCAGGACGGGUUCCUCCCGCAUGGCUCCUGCGUUGCUGGGAAAGGAGCAGCGGGUACAGUCCAGAGCGAAACCCAGGGUAUGUGACACCCAGUAAUUAGACAUAGCGAUGAUCCUGAAUCAGUUCCCUUGCAAUGGAGAUCACUCCAGAACCUGUUGCCAGUGCUAAUUCUGCCAAGGGCGGUUACUUCCAGCAGUGUGAGCAAUACGCUGAUGCAUAGGUAUUCCAGAUGAACUGGAGCCUCCGAAAGGAGGAGGCUAUACCCUUCUUUUCCCCAUAUCUGCCUUACACUUGCAGACGUGUCACUGGCAGCCCACAGGAAGCUCCCGGAGGCAUUUUUAUGCCCUCAUGCUGUAGUUUUGUCAAGCUCACCUGCUCAGUUUCCUCCCAGGCUCUGCUGAGUCACACGUGUGGGUAGGCAAGUGAGAUGUCUGGAUUUCCCCCCCUGUGCUCAUCUUCCCUUUUUCCAGCCCCAAAGCACCCGGGCAGGGCUCGCCACUCCGCCAGUGCCCCCAGGCUUAGAAAGAAGCCAUUGUGUUCAAGUUUUCAAACAAAAGUUGAACAGAAGUGGGAGGAAAAGGGCAAGUGCAAGAAAAAGAAUAGAUGAGUUCAGGACAAGCGGAAUAAAAGGAGAGCAGCAGGAAAGGGGCCAGAGAAAGAGAGGAUCUGUUGGAAGAGCUGAUACAUGUUCAGUGAUGCUAACGCUGGUCAGAAGUAAACUUUAUCCCAAUGCAGAGUGUGGAGAAAAAGAGAACCUGAGGUUUUCUGGCUCCAGCUCACACAAUCAAACAUUCCUGCAGGGCCUCAUUUCCUUGUGGUUUUCUUCCGUGCCUUCUGCCCUACUGGUUGCUUCUCCGGGCAAUGUGAGCUCAGUGAGCAGCUCGCUGCUGGGUUCAGAAACGCUCUGCGUGUUCUCCCCAUGAUGCAGAGAAGCAGGAAAGAGUGUUCUGAAGGGACCACAGGGCUGCAAGUCCCCUGGAAAUACAAACCCCCACUUGUUGCACGAUUUUUUCUGCAAGCACCUGAAGGAACGUGGGAAGUUAGCUGGUAAAAUGAGAGCAAAUGGAAUGGGGAAACAGCAAAUGAAAAUGGAAGUGGAGGAUUUGGCAAGCGCAACUUCACUGCUGACGCUGUUUGCCCUCAGCAGUUUCAUCUGAAGCCUCCUCGCAAAAGCUCCGUGCCACCUUUCAGUCAGCGAGGAUGGCUCAGUAUCGUAUCACUGGAAGAAACAGAGUUGAAAAUACAUAUGUUUGCCUCUUGGAAAGGAUUAAUUUGGGAAAAGAAAAGGCAGGAUUGCAUCAUAUCACAUAUGUAACAAGGAAGACUCUGCUUCAGAAAUUUAUCCAGGGAAAGAGAGAUCUUUGCAAGUGAUGGUGGAAGUGACAAUGUUUGUUAAACUCAGCGGGGCUUUUCAGUUUUGUUUGGUUGGUUCUUGAAGAGGUUGAACUUGCUGUGGGAAACCAGGAGCUGAGGCUUUGAGAGGGGAUAGAGCCAGAAAAAGCUCUGUCAGGAGGAGAGUUCUGGAAAGCAAUAGAAUGAAUAUUUUUAGCUGAAAAGGUGACUUCAUAGUAAUUAAUUUGGACAGGGAUAACCUUGUGUAAUGAAGCAAAUCAAAUGGAUGUGAAGUCCACUAGAGGAAGGGUAGGGAGCAGGAAUUACGAUAGGAGACUCGCAUGUGUGUUAUAAAGAAGCAUUUGAAUCACAGAAUCAUAAGGAGUUUGAGCUUCCAAAAUACUCGGACAGAGCACUAGGACAGUCGGAGUGGAAGCUGGCAAGGCUUAAACUGCCCAGCCGUGCUCAGAGCAGCCCUAAAACCAGCAGGAGCUGGCCCCUUUUGGGCUGGCAGCUCCAAAGUUGGGGUUUCAACCUCUGGGUACUGGGCUCCCCAGCCACAGCCCUCAUCGGCGGUUUCGCAGUAAACUCAAGAACCGUUUGGAAAUUAUUUAGGGGUGUUUCCCUGCCUGCCGCCCACACUGCAGGUAUUACACCAUAGAGGAUGACUUGGGAUUUAUUCCCUUUUGGCAAGCAGACAGAAAUGACUAUCUUGUCUGUCUCUUUGUUAGCACAAGUGGUGUGGUUCCUUCCCUACCCUUUCUCUUUGUGUAUUUGUGGGCAAAACUUAAGCUAGAGCCGUAAUUUCCACAGGCUUCUUUCAAGGCCAAGUCUUGGCUAUUUCGGAGAAAACCUGUGCCAUUCUCUGCUUCCUUGCAACGUCUGCUGGUCCCUGGGGGAUGUCCACAUGGCUCUUUGAGCUUCUCAAAAGGCUCCAACUCUAUACACCAGGAGCUCCUGGAAGCCUGAUGCUGUCUCAUUCAAAGUGGGACCUCAUGAUGCUGAGCAUCCCUGGGUGCUGCAGCUUGGCUCAGCUCAGAGCCCCUGUGCUGAGUGACACAGAGGGUGUCCGGUCCUUGCACCCUUUCCCUGCAGCAAAUCCACUCCUUUUUGUCAUCCCCAGGCUUAAAUUAAUCUUUCUUUUUGUGGCUGGAGGACUGGAGUUCCUAGGCAAACAGCAGUGCUUUGAAUUCAGGGCUCUGCUUCAGGAAGGGAGGCAAAACCCUUCAGUAUAUUGACUGAGAGUUAAUGAUCUGGGGAAGACCAGAUGCUGGAAAAGCAAACCCACCUCCUCCCCCAUGCAACCCAGUAGGAGGAGAUGGCAAGUGAGGAGGUGUCCUUUCGGCAAAAGUGCAGCAGUCCUGCAGGGAAUAAACAAUUGUAUGCAACCACCUGCUUCAGAGCGCGGAAAUGUGAGUCACAGCCAAACAGCAUCAGGCUGUCUCUCUGGCACAAUGGUUGUAGCGAACAAAACCAUUUGGGUGACGCAGAGUCUAAGCUAGAGCCAGGGCAGAGUGCUGGGGGAAGAAGAGAGCAGAGGCAGCAGACACAGGGAGUCCCGUAUGCUCCCUGUCCUAGCACUGGGCAGCCUUGGCCCCAGUACAACACCCCCUACCCGGGCAUCCUCUCCAGCUCGCUGCUGGCCCUGCAUGGCAGGAGGGGACUGCCCAGCUCACAGCAAGGAGAGGUCUGUUUGCUCUGAGCUCCUCUACAUUGCACUGUUUGCUCUAGGUGAAGGAUUUAAGACCGUGGGGAUUUACUGGCCUGUUUUGCAAACAGUGUGUUUUAUAAAUAUAGGAUGUUUUUUUACUGCUUGGACUGCUGAGCUGGCUUUAAAAGAUUCCUUGUCCUGCUUGUGGUGUGGGGUGGCUUGAGGCAGCUGGAGUGGACUCUGCACCUCUGGUCUGCCCAGGGGCUUUGGAGCCAACAGUGUCACAACAAUUCUCUGCAGCUUCCAGGAAGCAGAUGAGGGCCCUGCCACACGUCACCUCCCACCUCCAUACACCAGAGGAGAACAGAGAGAGAGGGAGCAGGUCAGGCUUGCUGGAGUUGCACAGUGGACAAGGAACGCUCUUUGCAUCUGGAGGCAGCUGGGAGGCUGCUGGUCCCCCUAUGUGUCCCGAGUUUGCUGCAGGGAAACCCCUCAGUCCUGCUCCUCUGCCAGCCAGGCUCUCGGGCUGGCGCUGGCAUGGGCUUUCCCACAGCUAGACAGAAGGAACCUUCAGUUUUAGGGCGCUUUAUGCUACUUUGUUAGACCUGAAGGGGCUUUAUCCAGACUUGGCUUAGAAAAAGCGAAUGGUUCCCUGCGUUUGCCUCUGUGGGGUAAGGUCCUGAAAGCCUCCUUGUUAUCUACAUCAGCUACAAGGAGAGAGAGGGCAGGUUUGCUCUGGCAGUUUACAAGGGAGGAAUCUGUUUUGAAGGACAAACUCUUUGCAAAAGGGCACUUCCCUAAAGUGAGCGAUUUAAGACGGCAAUUUUCCUGCUUGGCCUCCGUUGCUUCUUUGUACUUCCUUGUGUCAACUUCUGGACGUUUGUCCCCUCCUCCAGUGGGUUUUACAAGCGGAGUUUCCUGUCAUGUCGACCUUCUGCCAGCCCGGCCACCUCCUCGGUCAGCUCCCCUUGCUCUUGCACUGAACCCACAAGGUGCUUCCUUUGGGAGGCUGGGAGGUGAUGCAGGGUGGGAUUGCCUGGAGACGCAGGCAAAAGUAAGCAAAUCUUUGUAUGUGUUUACCUAUGAGACAGAACAUGCAUGAAGUUACACCUCAUCAUGCUGGAAGGCACGGCCUGUUGCUGAAGGGUGUGUGUAGCACUUGGGUAAAUAGAGCCUGGUCAUUCUGGAGCAAUAAGCCUGUGAAUCCUUAUGCAAAUAGGCACUAUUUGCUCAUGCAAACCUGCCUAAGGCAGCGGGGUGAGACAGCCCAGGUGCAGCAGCAAUCCUUUGCGGGUCACUGUAAAUCCCUUGGUUUGCACUGUGGACCACCCAAGAGGUUCGGUCUCCAAACGAUCCUUGAUCACAGGAGAUAGGAGAAAUAGCAGCCAGGAGUUUGGUCUCUCUAGGACAUGAAGGGGUACACAACAGUAACUGGAUUUACUUGUCUCCUGUAUCUCCUCCCUCUCUGAGAUGGAGAGAUGAAGUCUCUGCUGCCACCUGCAACCAACCCCGGACCAUAGUCAUUCUUGUCCUCUUCUCAUGUCUGCUGAGCAUUUCUGCAAAUAAAGCCUUGUUGGCUGUCCCGGUGCCACUACUGCACUCCUUCCUGUUUCAGCAUCUGAGUGGUCUCCUGGGGUUCCCACUACCGUCCCUUCUGUCCCCAAACCUUGCCAUGGGCAAGGGAGGGAAAUCUGUCCGGAGCAGUGCAGGUGUUUCAGUGCUGUCUCUAGCAGGUCUGGUACAAGGACAGACAUCAGCCCUUGGGGAAUGGAGUUUGCCUGGGUGGGGUCUGAGCCCUGCAGAUGCAAACAGCAUAAGAGGAGCUCAGCUGGCAUCUUGUCACUGUGUUACGUGGCUUAUCUGCCUUUGCAAGGAAGCGUGUUUGUACAGAAGCGUUAUUGUGCAAUGCAGAGGGUACAGCCCUGUUGGCAGGAGUGGUGGCCAGAAGCCACAGGCAAGAGCAGCUGUCAGAGGCUCCUGUGCUGGGGCGGGGGCUGCAGGGGAAGGCAGGCAGCCCCGGGGUCGGGGAUUUGGGGCAGGAAGGAGCAAUAGUCCUUUGCAAAAGCAGCUAUGAGGAAAAGGGUGCUGGAUGGGGACCGGCUGUCCAGGAGAUGGCAGCAGCUUUCCAGCAGCUGUGCCCGGGUUUGCUGUCCUGGUUCCCGUGUGCCCUUCCACAUGGCCAGGAGGAAAGACGGGUAAAAACCUGCCCUCCCUCUGCCUGCCCAAUUGCAGAGGGGCUCAGCAACCACCCCAGCUGGGCCCAGCACCCCGGCAAUGUGCGCCACAGUGUCCUGUGUGGAACCAGGUGGGUGCUGCCCCUGGAAACUGUCUUCCUUUCCUUGGUGGCUGUGUGGAAACCCACGCAAUUCGUUAAGUCCGAUGCUAACCCCAGCGGUGGCAGAAGAACAGCAAGGAGACUGAGCUUUCAUUCGAGUGCUCGGGAGGAAGAGGGUGCACCAAGCGUCUACAGGAGGCAUCAGUGGUAGCAGAAAUGGAGAAGUAGGAAAUGUACAGUGCUGCCGGUGAUUCUGCAACAGACAUGACUUUAGAUCCUCAGAUCAAAGAUACAGCUCAGCAGCUGGGAGCAAAGUCAGCUCAAGUCAUCUGCUCCCAGCAUGACAUGUGCGUUCCUCCAGCCUGCCAGCACGCAAAGAUCUCUCAUCCAUACAUCCAUGUUUUAAAAUGCAUGUAUAGCUUGGCCCCCCGAGACCUCACUCAGCAUGACAUCUAAAAAAAAGUUUGGUUUGUUGGUGUUUUAAUUGGUGUCUAAGCCUGACCUCAAAACAGCUGAGAUCCUUCAUCUCGAAGAGCAGCCCUUGCCCCAGCUGCAAGUGAUAAGCAUCUGCAUUUAUUGCCAGGGAGCCACUGCCCUGGCUUUGUUUGGGAGACCUGGCUGUUGUAUCUGAGAGUGCCUGGAUCAUCCCUGGUGUGCAGCACAGAUGUGGUUGAGAACAGAAGGCAGAUGGGAAGAGCUGAUAUAGCAAACAGACAAUAGGAUGAAACCAGAGCAUAAAGCGGGCUGAAAGUCAGAGAAAGAAGAAAAACAAGUGGAAGAGAAAGAACCUGAAAUUCCAAUCCCCGCAGGUCAGAUUUAGUCUUUGGCUUCUUAUGCUAAGCUCUCCCCAGACUACUCCUUGUGUAAUGAGCACAGCUUUAUCAUGGUAGUGAUCAUGGGAUAAUAACAGCUCUAAUAACAGCAAUUCUAUCGUAAUACAAUUUCUACUGCAAAAAUAUUGUUAUUAUGAAAUUUACUGUGACUGGGUUGUAAAUGGGGCAACAUUGAAUAAUCAUCUGCAAAGUGAAGCGGCAGGACAAGGCGGCAGAGCUGUCUGCUGCUCCUCAGCUUCGUGACCACCCCAUUGUGGGGGGACCAGGGACCCGCAGCGGACACAUAAUGCUGUGACACUCGGGAAUAGGGCUCUCCCCUGCUAUCACACUGACUCCAUCUGUGCUAAAAGUGGCACUCGGGAAUAGGGCUCUUCCCCUGCUAUCACACUGGCUUCACCUGUGCUAAAAGCUCACGUUCUCAGGCAAGCUUUCCUCCUGACUUCAAAGGAUGCUUUCACCCAGGAGAGAACAGCCAGCUCAGCAGCUGCUUCUACAUUUCCUGCUCCUGUUUCCAGCUGAGGGACCUGCUCUCAAAACCAUCCCAAAAGCUUAGCAUCGGAAUUAGUUAAGUUGAUAAGGGAGGUAGGUGUGUUAACAGUGACAGUAUCCAAAGAGUGGGUUACAGGGAGGUUUGUAACUUGACGUGCUGUUAUGUAAGAAGUUUUAUUCAUGCUUGGCUCAGAUACACUACUGAAAAUGGAUGGAUUAAUGGAAGUAUUUAUCAUUUAUACAUAGAAAAACAAGGUGGUCAAAUCAGAAUGAAUUUUCACUUCCUUAGAGACAGGAGAGCAAUUACAGGACAAUGGAGAACAGAGAGGGGCUGUUGUAUCCGCACAAUAGAGAGCAGAAAGAAAACUGAAGAAAGAAAGAAAAAAGCCAGAGGGGGAGACAGUGACAGAGAAAGAAAGUGAAGAAAGUGUAUCAUCUGUGACAAGGACACAAUGUGAACUUGCAACAUCAAAGUGACAACAGAGGCUUGGUGGAGAGGGAAUACCUGCUGCUAAGAGGGAGCAGCGUGUGCUCUGGGGCUGCAGGACUCACCUGCGCAGAGGGCUGGGAAGGAAUUAUUGGUGUUGGCAAAGUGUUUGAGCUCCUGCGAGAGGAUUGUGAAGGGUGUUGGUGUUCAUGAGGAGCGGUGAGGGGAAUGCUGCGGGGAGGAACACUAACUGGGGAGCCUCUGAACCCUGGUAACACCCCCUUUGUGUGCAUCCCCACAGCUCCUUGAGGACCUUGACUGCCUGUACCUUCAGGUGACAUUCCCCUUGCAGAGAAAGGCAGCGUGAGGCCAAAACUACAACUGUAUUGUGGAACCAGCAGAGCUUCCUACCUUUCAUAAAUUGCUUUUACACCUUAAUUGAAAUCCUUUCCCACCUGCAAAGUCUGAUGUAAUCGAAGGCAAACCUGAUACAUUGGUGGCACUGGUUACCUGGCCGCUGCUCAGGAGGACGGAGUCUGGGGAUAAGUGUUGCCUUUGUGAAUGCACAAGAGUUUCUAAUUCACACCUUUUUCCAUUCCAGGCACCCAGCUUUCUUCUAACACCUGGAAAUGCAGUCUAGGUGAUUAAACAAAAGAAACUGAUAGGAAAUACAAGCAUUUUCCAAUGGGAGUGAAAGUUAAAACAUGAUGUGUUCCAACACUGCUUUUUGUUCUGCAAGCCAUUUCUUGCCAUCCAUGCACCCCAUGGAAGAAUCCAGGGAAGUGCAGUUAAUGCAAUGAGCUACAAUUUCUAUCUAUGGAGAGCAAUCAACCAUAAACCAAAACUCAGUGAAACGCUGAAUUACUGCUAUUUUGGUCCAUGCUUGAACCCUUGAGUUCCGUGCACAGCAGUCUGUGCUUCAGGCUAAUAGCUGGAUGCAAAUACCCCCAUCAUUUCACUUUCAGUGCUCCCUAAUUGUAUUUAGACUUGUUUCUACAGAAUUUAGUGACAUUUAGAGAGAACAAUGCAGAGUUUGCUGUGUCACAGUGGCUAUACCGCUGGGCUGCGUUAUCUGUUUGGUGCUGCUCAUGUGGUUUCACAAAGAAACGACUCUGGCAUUACCUUUAUUGCUUUUCCUAGCAAUGCAAAUUAUUUUCACCACCUUAAAUACAGACUGUGUAAUAAAAGCAUGAGGGUAGUGCAGCUACUUUGUUCACUUAAAAGCAAGCAGCAGUCCCAGAAGGGAAGCAGGGAGAGGUUGUUGAUGCUGAUGACUUGAAUUUUACUAUAAAACGAAUCUGGAUUAAAGUUGACAUUAAUCAGGCUUGUCAGCAGGGAUCAGCAUCACCAUGAGGAUGUGUCUUAGCCUUCCAGAGCAGGAAUGCGGCAUCUCUGCCAGAGCUCAGCCUGUCAUGCAACAGGUAGGGUGCUUUAAAAUUGUCCCAAGCAAAUAUUCUCCUUGGAUACUGGGAAAGAGCUGAUGUGAACAGAGGGGAAAAUGAGCGUGAAGCAAUCUGCAGUACCCAUUGUCCCACGAGCCCCGCUCUAAGCACAGAUACUCGCAAAGCCAUGGCAAUUCUCUUGCCCUGCUGCCUGGCUACUAUGGGAAAACCAACUAUUGAUAAUCAUCCCCAUCUGGUUCUAUUCUGGGGAAAAAAAUGAAGAAUCUAUCACAAACCCAAGGCAACUCUUUGUAAUGAACACUUUAAAUACAUUUCCAACCUGUUUGUGUUUCAUAAUGAGCUUUCUAGAAUAUACUAUGCUGUGUUUCUAAUAAUGCCCUUAUUGAAAUGUUAUUGAUUUGGAGAAAAGAAUACUAAUGUGUUCUUCUCAGGACUCUGGAUACGGAUGGAGACCAGUGUCAGCUAUUUCCUCGUUAGAGGUCUAGCUGAGCAUCGGUUGCUUUACACAAAGCUUCAGUUUCUUACUCGGGACAUGAGUGACCUCAGCAGUUGUACUGCGACUCUGCAUAUGAAUAGCACUCUUCUAUUAUUUCCAGCCAAAUAGCCACAGAGAUAAUUGCUUAGGACGAACGAUUUCUCCUUAUGGUAGUAUCACGACUUGGGCAAAGAGCGGUCCUUCUUGUUUUAGCGGCGGUGUGUGCAUCUAUCCAGACGUGGUCCCUCCCUGAAGCGUUUGUGCAAACUAUGGUGACAAAGCACAGAAAGCAAGAACGAGUAACACAGUUUGCAGAUGAGCCAUCAGAGGCCUGCAAAGCUGAGCUGGCGUGGGACAGCAGAACGGUGGCUACACAACUGCACAAUUAGUUACUUGGGAGGCAAGUCACAGUAUCACAGUAUAUUUGGGAUUGGAAGGGACCUCAAAAGAUCAUCUAGUCCAAUCCCCCAUGGAGCAGGAACACCCAGAUGAGGUUACACAGGAAGGUGUCCAGGCGGGUUGGAAUGUCUGCAGAGAAGGAGACUCCACAACCCCCCUGGGCAGCCUGGGCCAGGCUCUGCCACCCUCACCAGGAACAAGUUUCUUCUCAUAUUUAAGUGGAACCUUUUGUGUUCCAGCUUGAUCCCAUUACCACUUGUCCUAUCAUUGUUUGCCACCGAGAAUAGCCUGGCUCCAUCCUCGUGGCACUCACCCUUUAUAUAUUUAUAAACACUAAUAAGGUCACCCCUCAGUCUCCUCUUGUCCAAACUAAAGACCCCCAGCUCCCUCAGCCUUUCUUCAUAAGGGAGAUGCUCCACUCCCUUCAGCAUCUUUGUUGCUUUACGCUGGACCCUUUCCAGCAGUUCCCUGUCCUUCUGGAACUGAGGGGAAGAAGUCCUACCCAUGUAUCACUCCAGAGGGGAUGGGGCUGCACUCAUUCCAAACCCAAAUUACACCCUGGCUGUUGUUCUGGAUGACUGGGUACACGCAGCCUCUUGGACGUCCCAGCGUGUGCCCAGGGUGACUGUGGGCAUGGGGAUGCAGCUCUAUCGCUCCAGCUCUGGACGGAAAAUAACCCGCUUCUUGCUCUGAAAGGGCUCAGCAAGUGUCCUGUUUACUCAGGACAAAUCAGCAAUACCGCAGAGACCUCCAUAUCCCCCUUGCUGAUAGAUCAGCCCCGUUGCCAGGCCCUGGGUCCCGGUGGAGCAUUGGCCAAUGUCAGUUUUUGAAACCGCGUGUCUGCCAGCCGUGCUGUUAAUGGUGUAGCAGCAUGGUGUUUGGGAUAAACGAGGUACUCGCAGCUCGUAUUACUCUGCGGUGGACAUCCAGGGUGGUUGUUCUGCAUGCCUUGAAGCCGGUCAGUGGAACACACUGAGCCUUUCUCCAGCUGACCUCUAAUUAAAGUCUUGUUAUUAAUGGCUGUUAUUAUUCAGCCUCUUGUCAUUAUACUGCUCCUCCAUUACAGAAGCUUCCUCUUAGCUUCUAUGUCCCUUGCACUUGCUUACUGUCAUUUGCCAAGUAUUUUCAGGUACGAAAAAUGCACAGAGCUCCAGAGAGGUGGAUGUUUUGUUGCCUAAUUGAAGCCACAGGCAAUUCCGUUAUUUUUCAGACCGAAAUGGCAGGCAGGUCUGGAGAACAAUGACUGUAAGAAAGGAAAACCGGGAGUAAAUUUAAAAGCUUGGAAGACCAUUUCUGUUACCAGCGUACCAGCAUAGAAAUCCCACUGCAGACAAGGUGGCAGAAGUUCACUCGGGGUUGUGAUGAUGGAAUUUUAGAGAAUUCCAAAUAAAUUGGGAAAAAAGAAGCGGAAUGUAUCAGCCUUGCCCAUCUAUAUAUUAUGAGUCAGAUGCCCUUGAAAUUACUGCUAAAUAAAUGUUAUUUGUUAUUGUAUUAACAUGAUACAUGGGCAAAACGCAGAGACAGUCCCAGGCCCGGAAACUUUAAAAACCGUGGAGACAACACAGAGAAGAAGAGAGAUCCAUACUUUACGAACAUAGAAUCGAGCCACAGAGAUGACAAAACACGAGCUGGCGGAAAAUUUUGAUCAAGUAUUUCUCGGCUGAAGAUUGUUUGGAUUUAUUGAAGUAUUUUGGGAAUGUAUGUAAAUUGCAUCUAUUCAUUUCAUAAUGCAGCAUAAAAAUAAAAGUGCUUUUUAAAAAAAUCAA